CCCUCUGUGGUGCAAACAAUUAACACGCUUGGCUGCUAACCAAAAGGCUGAAGGCUCAAGUCCACCCAGAGGCA
rnacentral:tRNA from 1 species